AACCUGGUUGAUCCUGCCAGUAGUCAUAUGCUUGUCUCAAAGAUUAAGCCAUGCAUGUGUAAGCACACACUGUUUUAAAAGUGAAGCCGCGAAUGGCUCAUUACAACAGCCACAGUUUAUUAGAACUUACAAUCAUGGAUAACUGUGGUAAUUCUAGAGCUAAUACACGCACAAAAACUUCAACUGAAUUGGUUGAAGUGCUUUUAUUAGAACAAAAACCGAACGGCGUUUGACGAAUGUUGAACGUCGAAACUGUUUGGUGAAUCUGAAUAACUAUUUCUGAUCGCAUGGUCUAGCACCGGCGACAUCACUUUCAAGUGUCUGCCUUAUCAACCUUCGAUAGUAGUCUAUGCGACUACCAUGGUGAUAACGGGUAACGGAGAAUCAGGGUUCGACUCCGGAGAGGGAGCCUGAGAAACGGCUACCACAUCCAAGGAAGGCAGCAGGCGCGCAAAUUACCCACUCCCAGCUUGGGGAGGUAGUGACGAAAAAUAACGAGACGAUUCUCGUUUGAGAAACGUUAUCGAAAUGAGUACGCUUUACACACGCUAACGAGUAGCAAUUGGAGGGCAAGUCUGGUGCCAGCCGCCGCGGUAAUUCCAGCUCCAAUAGCGUAUAUUAAAGUUGCUGCGGUUAAAACGCUCGUAGCUGAAUUGUGGUCUUAGACAACAGUCCCCCUACAAAGGUGUGGCACGGUUGCUCGAGAUCUUCAUUCGUGGUUGCUGUUGUUGCUCUUCAUUGAGUGUCAAUGGUGCCUCGAGAUUUUACUUUGAAAAAAUUAGAGUGCUCAAAGCAGGUUGUGAUGCCUGAAUAAUGGUGCAUGGAAUAAUAGAAUACGAUCUCGGUUCUAUUUUGUUGGUUUUCGAACCGGAGAUAAUGAUUGAAAGGAACAGACGGGGGCAUUCGUAUUGCUGCGUUAGAGGUGAAAUUCUUGGAUCGCAGCAAGAUGAACAAUUGCGAAAGCAUUUGCCAAGAAUGUUUUCAUUAAUCAAGAACGAAAGUUAGAGGUUCGAAGGCGAUCAGAUACCGCCCUAGUUCUAACGGUAAACUAUGCCAACCAGCGAUUCGCCGAAGUUCAUUUAAGACUCGGCGAGCAGCUUCCGGGAAACCAAAGUGUUUCGGUUCCGGGGGAAGUAUGGUUGCAAAGCUGAAACUUAAAGGAAUUGACGGAAGGGCACCACCAGGAGUGGAGCCUGCGGCUUAAUUUGACUCAACACGGGAAAACUCACCCGGCCCGGACACUGGAAGGAUUGACAGAUUGACAGCUCUUUCUUGAUUCAGUGGGUAGUGGUGCAUGGCCGUUCUUAGUUGGUGGAGCGAUUUGUCUGGUUAAUUCCGAUAACGAACGAGACUCUACCCUAUUAAAUAGUGACAGUAUUGUAUUUUUUGUGCUGAUCACUUCUUAGAGGGACUGGCAAAUUGAAAGCUGCACGAAAAAGAGCAAUAACAGGUCUGUGAUGCCCUUCGAUGUCCGGGGCUGCACGCGCGCUACAAUGAAAGCGUCAACGUGAGUUACGUCCUUACCUGAAAAGGUUUGGCAAUCGAAUGAAGCGUUUUCUUGAAUGGAAUAGGGAAUUGCAAUUGUUUCCCUUGAACGAGGAAUUCCCAGUAAGCGUGAGUCAUUAGCUCGCGUUGAUUACGUCCCUGCCCUUUGUACACACCGCCCGUCGCUACUACCGAUUGGAUGAUUUAGUGAGGUGUUUUGACUGGCGCCAGUAGUCGGAUAUGUAUUCGGCUUCGCGCCGGGAAAUUUCCCAAACCAAAUCAUCUAGAGGAAGUAAAAGUCGUAACAAGGUUUCCGUAGGUGAACCUGCGGAAGGAUCAUUA
rnacentral:rRNA from 1 species